rnacentral:rRNA from 1 species
CCUACGGGUGGCUGCAGUGGGGAAUAUUGGACAAUGGGGGGAACCCUGAUCCAGCCAUGCCGCGUGUGUGAAGAAGGCCCUCGGGUUGUAAAGCACUUUCAGUGAGGAAGAACGCCUGGUGGUUAAUACCCAUCAGGAAAGACAUCACCCACAGAAGAAGCACCGGCUAACUCCGUGCCAGCAGCCGCGGUAAUACGGAGGGUGCGAGCGUUAAUCGGAAUUACUGGGCGUAAAGCGCGCGUAGGUGGCUUGAUAAGCCGGUUGUGAAAGCCCCGGGCUCAACCUGGGAACGGCAUCCGGAACUGUCAAGCUAGAGUGCAGGAGAGGAAGGUAGAAUUCCCGGUGUAGCGGUGAAAUGCGUAGAGAUCGGGAGGAAUACCAGUGGCGAAGGCGGCCUUCUGGACUGACACUGACGCUGAGGUGCGAAAGCGUGGGUAGCAAACAGGAUUAGAUACCCUAGUAGUC